rnacentral:ncRNA from 2 species
CGACGCCUUGCGGGAGAGCCGGAUCAGCCGGCACCGACGGAGCAAGCCUCCCCGCCAAUCUCUCAGGUCACUACACCGCAAGAACGAG